rnacentral:lncRNA from 1 species
CCUCGUGGCCUGCGUGUUGGGUGCGUCGCCAGCUGAACAUCUUCGUUUCUGCUCCCACGACACGAGCCCCGCUCGUUGUUUACGUAUCCCUGUUUGAGCUCCCCGGUUUCACUCGUCUAGGCCACUGCAUAGCUAGUGACAUUUUUUUAUAUCCCUUUGAACUUCAGUGAUCAAGUCACUUCCUGGUAAGAGCGUCUUGAAUGGAAGAUGAAG